GUCAGUUUUUGCCCCUAACGACAAACCUCACUGUUGGUUCUACCUCUCCUCAGACCUCGCUGGUGCUUGCUUCAGCUCUGUGGUUUUCAACUCCAUGGCUUUUUUCAACUCACAGCAAGAAAACCACCACGAAAACCUUGCUUUUCAAGUCCAUGGUUUUUUUUUAUAUCUCAAAUUCUUUUUUUUUUUUUUGCUUGAUCUUAUGUUUGAUGGAGAUGUUGAAUGCAGGGUGGCUCGAUAAGGUUAUCUUGGGUUUGUCCUCUAAAGCUUCAUAAAACUCCUCAACAUCACAAACUUUUCCAAAUUGCUUGAAAUCAAUCGGCAACAUCGCCAUCAUCCUUCAUCUGCACCAAAUGCCAUUCCAAUUACUAAAAAUGUAAUUGAUGGCCAAUACCAAGUAAUAGGUGUAAUCAAAUUAUAAAUUUUGUGUGGAAUUAACAGAUUUCAUAGAAGAAGGAGGAGAGAAAAACAAGACAUGGGAAAUGAGAGCUUGCCCCGGCGUCAUGGAGAAGAAACCGAUGAGCGAGUAUGUGAGAUUGAGCCAUGGCUUGUCAUCGCCGAGCUCGAUUUGUGCAAAGUAGAAGAGCCAGAGUUUGAAGGUAUUAAAUUGUCCUCAUUUGUUGUAAGCGAUCUCAGUUUAGCAAAUUGGCAGGCAACCUGAAGGAGAUUGCAUGCCCCUCACUGCAGUGUGACUUGGACCGACUCAUCCUAUAAGAAUUGCUUUACAAAUUGUCAUACUUACAAUCAAAUAUGUCCCUAGCUAUGCAAAUUAUAUGUCUUUGCAAUUUGUAAAAUUGAAAGCCCCUGCAUAAAAACCCUAAAUUAAUAGAGCAUUCAAACAAAUUAGUAAAAGAUGCAAAUCCUAUACUUUAACAUUAGAGUAAAAGUUAUUUACUUAUUUAUCUAGCAUAUGAGCGCGUUGCAUUUGUAAUUAAAAAAAACAGUUAAUUAUAAUUCAAAAGAAUCAUAUUAUUAAGGGAAA